rnacentral:tRNA from 1 species
GCAUUAAUGGGGUAGUGGUAACCUGGGUCGUUGCCAUUCGAGAUAUUCAAGCUCGACCCGCCGGGGGUUCGAUUCCCUCUUAAUGCA